CCAUACGACCGUACCGCAAACCGACACUGGUGCGCGAGAUGAGUAUUCUAAGGCGCUUGAGAGAACUCAGGAGAAGGAACUCGGCAAAUUGACACCGUAACUUCGGAAGAAGGUGUGCCCUAUUAGUGUGUAGUGAACAACGAAGCAUGAAUGGGUUGCAAAAAAUCGGUGGCUGCGACUGUUUAUUAAAAACACAGCACUCUGCAAACACGAAAGUGGACGUAUAGGGUGUGACGCCUGCCCGGUGCUGGAAGAUUAAAUGAUGGGGUGCAAGCUCUUGAUUGAAGUCCCAGUAAACGGCGGCCGUAACAAUAACGGUCCUAAGGUAGCGAAAUUCCUUGUCGGGUAAGUUCCGACCUGCACGAAUGGCGUAACGAUGGCCACACUGUCUCCUCCUGAGACUCAGCGAAGUUGAAAUGUUUGUGAUGAUGCAAUCUCCCCGCGGAAAGACGGAAAGACCCCAUGAACCUUUACUGUAGCUUUGUAUUGGACUUUGAACAGAUCUGUGUAGGAUAGGUGGGAGGCUUUGAAGCAGGGUCGCUAGAUCUUGUGGAGCCAACGUUGAAAUACCACCCUGGUGUGUUUGAGGUUCUAACCUAGGUCCAUUAUCUGGAUCGGGGACAGUGCAUGGUAGGCAGUUUGACUGGGGCGGUCUCCUCCCAAAGCGUAACGGAGGAGUUCGAAGGUACGCUAGUUACGGUCGGACAUCGUGACGAUAGUGCAAUGGCAUAAGCGUGCUUAACUGCGAGACUGACAAGUCGAGCAGAUGCGAAAGCAGGACAUAGUGAUCCGGUGGUUCUGUAUGGAAGGGCCAUCGCUCAACGGAUAAAAGGUACUCUGGGGAUAACAGGCUGAUACCGCCCAAGAGUUCAUAUCGACGGCGGUGUUUGGCACCUCGAUGUCGGCUCAUCUCAUCCUGGGGCUGUAGCCGGUCCCAAGGGUAUGGCUGUUCGCCAUUUAAAGAGGUACGUGAGCUGGGUUUAAAACGUCGUGAGACAGUUUGGUCCCUAUCUUCCGUGGGCGCUGCAGAUUUGAGGAAGCCUGCUCCUAGUACGAGAGGACCGGAGUGGACACACCUCUGGUGUAUCGGUUGUCACGCCAGUGGCAUUGCCGAGUAGCUAAGUGUGGAAGAGAUAACCGCUGAAAGCAUCUAAGCGGGAAACUCGUUUCAAGAUGAGAUCUGCCGGGGCCUUGAGCCCCCUAAAGAGUCGUUCAAGACCAGGACGUUGAUAGGUCAGGUGUGGAAGUG
rnacentral:rRNA from 1 species